CCUACAGCUCUUUGAUUCAGUACAACUUGCUAUUUUUCCCGCCAUGGAAGCCAUGGAAAUCGACUCACAGAACAUUCUCCAGAGAAAACAAGCUACCUAUACCUCCCUGGAUGAUACUUUUAAGAUUCACAAAGAGACAUAUAGGGGACAGCAGUACAGUCAAAUUUACUUCACUCGUCUCCACUUGAUGCGAACCCUCCUCUAUUCCCUAGCCCCCAAUUGGAAACCCCAUUUGCCUGUUUGCACAAUUUUGGAAUUGGAAAAAGACAGGGAAUGCAUCGUUGUCGGAACCCUGUACAAGCACAUGAAACUCAAACCUUGCAUUCUUGAUGAAUACUCCAAGGAGAGAUCUGUGACUCCGCUUGUCAAGCCUCAUAAUUUUAUGCAUCCAGAUGAUACGCUAGUUUUAGAAGACGAUAGUGGAAGAGUUAAGCUUAGUGGGAGUGUCCUCUUACCAUCUAUAUACGUAACAGGUGUUGUUGUUGCUUUGCUUGGAAAGGAAACUGAUGCUGGAGAUUUCUUGGUCCAAGAUGUCCUAGAAGCUGGCCUACCACCCCAGAUAGAGCAUCCCCUUAAACCAAGAGAAGACAAGCAUGUUGUUUUUGUAUCAGGGUUAAGUGUUGGGGGAAGCACUUCUAAUCCUCUUCAGUUUCAGCUUCUUAUUGAUCAUAUAACAGGACAUUUAGGAGAUGAGAAGGAACAAGGCAUUGCAGCAGAAAUAGUUCACGUAGUACUUGCUGGGAAUUCUGUUGAAUUUCCUCGUGGUCUUCUCAAUGGACAGAAUUUGGCUUCAAAGGAUCAAUCAAGGCUGUCUGAGCCUAUUAAAGAGCUAGAUAUCUUUUUGACACAGGUUGCUGCUAGUUUGCCUUUAGAUAUCAUGCCAGGAUCUGAUGACCCAGCUAACUUCUCCUUACCUCAGCAGCCGUUGAAUAGAUGCCUUUUCCCUGGGUCUUCAGCUUAUAACACUUUUAGGUCUUGUACUAACCCUCAUUGUUUUGAGGUUGACAAUAUCAGAUUUCUUGGAACAUCGGGACAGAACAUAGAUGAUCUUGAGAAGUAUUCAGAGGCAAAGGAUAAACUUGAAUUCAUGGAAAGGACAUUAAAGUGGAGGCAUUUGGCACCGACAACACCUAAUACUCUUGGGUGUUAUCCUUUUGUGGACAGGGAUCCUUUCUUCAUUGAUAGCUGUCCUCAUGUUUACUUUGUUGGUAAUCAGGAUAAAUACAAAACUGACUUAAUAAAGGGGUCAGAAGGGCAGUUGGUGAGACUCAUAUGCAUUCCUAAAUUCUGUGAUACAGGAGUUGCUGUUGUGCUAAACUUGAGAAAUCUUGAAUGCCAUACUCUCAGUUUUGGGACUGAAUUCAGCUCAUAACAUGAUGAUGAGAGGAGAUGCUACAAGCAUAAAAUGUACUGUAUGCCCAUGCAGAUGAUAACAGCAACAAUCAAGUCUUAGUCUCAGAAAUCAGAAUUAUAGGGUUGGCUAUGGAUCACCAACAGUUAUUCAAGAAUCCUGGCAGAGAAAAUCAACGAGAUGGAUCUCUGAAGUUCAAGCCUGAACAGAGUUUUCUCCCCCUUUCCUAAUUUUGUUUGAGUUAUCAUCUGUAAAGUAUUAUUGUCGAAUUUCCUUUAAUGUACCAUUGUUGUAUCUUGUAACGUAGGAUACAAUGAUGCUUUUUGCCAGCCAAUAUUGAUGAUAUUGGAAAUUAUAUUCAUGAAUUCUGCCUUUUAAUUUAGGCUGUGGGUGUGUAUUUUUCCUAUCACAUAUUUAAUACUUAACGUGAUUAAAUGACUGAUAUGAUAUUUCAUGAUUAAAGAA